rnacentral:rRNA from 1 species
GGGGAAUUGUUCGCAAUGGGCGCAAGCCUGACGACGCAACGCCGCGUGGAGGAUGACGAUCUUCGGGUCGUAAACUCCUGUCGAGCGGGACGAAUGCUUUGCGGCUGAAUAAUCCGCAGAGGUGACGGUACCGAUAAAGGAAGCCCCGGCUAACUCCGUGCCAGCAGCCGCGGUAAUACGGGGGGGGCAAGCGUUGUUCGGAAUUACUGGGCGUAAAGGGCUCGUAGGUGGCCAAUUAAGUCAGACGUGAAAUCCCCAGGCUCAACUUGGGAACUGCGUCUGAUACUGGUUGGCUUGAAUUCGGGAGAGGGAUGCAGAAUUCCAGGUGUAGCGGUGAAAUGCGUAGAUAUCUGGAGGAAUACCGGUGGCGAAGGCGGCAUCCUGGACCGAGAUUGACGCUGAGGCGCGAAAGCCAGGGGAGCAAA